rnacentral:misc_RNA from 1 species
GAAAUGCGAUAAGUAGUGUGAAUUGCAGAAUUCAGUGAAUCAUCAAAUCUUUGAACGCACAUUGCGCCCCUUGGUAUUCCAUGGGGCAUGCCUGUUCGAGCGUCAUUUGUACCCUCAAGCUCUGCUUGGUGUUGGGUGUUUGUCCCCGUCUCCGCGCGUGGACUCGCCCCAAAGUGAUUGGCAGCCGGCGUACUGGUCCCGGAGCGCAGCACAUGUCGCGCAAACGAGUGCCUUGGUACGGCGGCGUCCAUAAGCCCCUCUCUCACGCUCUUGACCUCGGAUCAGGUAGGGAUACCCGCUGAACUUAAGC